GACGAACCGUACGAACGUUGUUCGGAAUUACUGGGCGUAAAGCGCACGUAGGCGGCUAUUCAAGUCGGGGGUGAAAGCCCGGGGCUCAACCCCGGAACUGCCCUCGAAACUAGAUAGCUAGAAUCUUGGAGAGGCGAGUGGAAUUCCGAGUGUAGAGGUGAAAUUCGUAGAUAUUCGGAAGAACACCAGUGGCGAAGGCGACUCGCUGGACAAGUAUUGACGCUGAGGUGCGAAAGCGUGGGGAGCAAACAGG
rnacentral:rRNA from 1 species